rnacentral:lncRNA from 1 species
AAGGAGAAUGAAGGAAAAAGGGAGGGAGAAAACCACCCUUAUACAUUUAGGACUCACAGGGCAGGAGUCCCAGACUGGGAGAAAGUCUGGACGUUUCAGCAGAGUUCAGUGUGCUGUGUCACUGUUUGUCUUGGCCUUUUUCGGCUGUGAGCAGCAGCAGCGUAAAUGAAUGUGCUUCAUUUCCUCAGCAACAAGACUGGGUCACACAUGUCCCCUCCCCUGGUGAGCAACCCAAGGAGUGAGUGGGGUGUCAUGGUGUUGCCAGGGACAGGCUGACAGUAGUACCAAAUUAGGAAAAGGACCGACUGAGGAUGCCUGGCCAAUCUGCAUCCCCAAUGCUCAGCCAGCAAAAUCAGUGGAAGUGUGUGUAAUUCUGCGGAGACUAGGAUGGCAUGUGCUCCGCCAGCAAUGCAGGAAAAAGGAUAAUCAAGCGGGACAUGGUUCUUGAAUAAGUGUAAAGCUAAACAUCAUCAAAAUGCUGCAACACAAUACGAGGGGCUGGAAGUGGUUAGUAUUGUGAUUACAGAGAGGGCAUCAGUAUAGGAUGUCAUUUCUCACAAAGAUCCAGGAAAAUGUCUAGCAUUCAUUUUUAUAAACAAAGCAUAGCACACUGGAGUUAUUUCUUAUUUCAAACGUAUAGUCAUACUACCUUUAUUUAGAACAUGGGCGAGGGGAUUGGAAUGGUAUAUAAAUCCAGGACAAGACUUGGUAUGUAAGUUCCUCCUCAAAAAAGCAAAACGCAAGGCCUAUUCUAAACAAAUCCAGGGCAAUUCAGCUCUGAAGCAUUGUUAAUCUUUUCAUUAAAGGUACAGUCACUAUGUUCCAAAUCCUUCUUCCAAAGAUCAGAUCCAGAUUUUCCAGCUAAUGAAACAAUGAAGUCAUUCCUUAAUGCCAAAAAACCCUUGAGAAUUUCCUGUGCCAUUGGGCACAUUCUGUGAGUAGAAGGAAUGUGGAAUUAGAGGGGGAAAUUGACUUCACUGAUGACCUCCAGAAGACCUGACUUGAGAUGCAAACUUCAGUGAGCCUGGAAGUGAGUCCAAGAAGGAAGUGGUGAGAAUGAACACACUGACCUCACUCUCCUUCCUCCUCAUAUCCUGCUGGUGCUCGUCAGCGGCCAAACCUAAUGGGAAACCUAGAUCAGUGAUACAGUCAUAUAGAUCAGCCUCCCAAGGCAUAGGCAGCAUGAGGAGGAUGGAAAGUGGAUCUGGGGGGCAAAUAAGUGCUGUCCAGCAUUGAUAAGCCUGGCUUCAAAUCUUGUUUCUUUCCGAUUAGCUGAUGACUUUUGGCAAGUGAUUUAAUUACUCUCAGCCUUUCCUCUGAGGAGACAGUCACUUAGAUACCAUUUCUGUUCCACAGCCUCCGUCUCCUUUCCAACUCCAAUAAAAGGGGAUUGUUAAUGUUAUGAUUUCUCAAAAGCAGGAAGACUUUAAAUGACAUUCACAUUUAUCCUACUUACCCAAAUGUUUUAACUCAAUAAUGUACAGUUUAAUGCUUAAUAAUUUCAUGUUUGUUAUUUAUUGUGACUACAAAAUUUUUAGCAGCUUUACCGAGAUACAACUUACAUGCAAUAAACUACACAUGCUUAAAGUAUAAAAUUUGUUGUUUUGAUAUAUGUAGACACCCGUAACACUAUCACCACAUCAAGAUAAUAAACAACACCUCAAAAGUUUCCUCAUGCCUCACUGUAAUCCCUUCCUCUUCCUUCCUCAUUCCUCUUCAUCAUCCAUUGAUAUGCCUUCUGUCACUAUGCACUGGUGUAUUAAUCAGGCUUCUCUAGAGGGACAGAACUAAUAGGACAUGGGAGUUUAUUAAGGU